rnacentral:rRNA from 1 species
AGAGUUUGAUCCUGGCUCAGAACGAACGCUGGCGGCGCGUUUUAAGCAUGCAAGUCGAGCGGCAAGGGCCUUUGGGCCCCUAGAGCGGCGGACGGGUGAGUAACACGUGGACAAUCUGCCCCCCGGCCGGGGAUAGCCCAGGGAAACCUGGAUUAAUACCGGAUGAGACGGGACCCGCGGAGGCGGGAUCCGGGAAAGGCGCUGCGGCGCCGCCGGGGGAUGAGUCUGCGUCCCAUUAGCUAGACGGCGGGGUGAAGGCCCACCGUGGCGACGAUGGGUAGCCGGCCUGAGAGGGUGGACGGCCACAUUGGAACUGAGACACGGUCCAGACUCCUACGGGAGGCAGCAGCUAAGAAUCUUCCGCAAUGGGCGAAAGCCUGACGGAGCGACGCCGCGUGAACGAAGAAGGCCGUGAGGUUGUAAAGUUCUUUUCGGGAGGGGGAACAACCGUGGCAGGGAAUGGCCGCGGGAUGACGUGGAUCCCGGAAUAAGCCCCGGCUAACUACGUGCCAGCAGCCGCGGUAACACGUAGGGGGCGAGCGUUGUUCGGAAUCAUUGGGCGUAAAGGGCGUGCAGGCGGUCCUGCAAGUCCGGCGUGAAAGACCCCGGCCCAACCGGGGGGGCGCGCUGGAAACUGCAGGGCUUGAGUACAGGAGGGGAUGCCGGAAUUCCAGGUGUAGGGGUGAAAUCUGUAGAUAUCUGGAAGAACACCAAUGGCGAAGGCAGGCAUCUGGCCAUGUACUGACGCUGAGACGCGAAGGUGCGGGGAGCAAACAGGUUUAGAUACCCUGGGUAGUCCGCACAGUAAACGAUGUGCACCAGGUGGCGGGGGGUCGACCCCCGGGUACCGUAGCCAACGCAUUAAGUGCACCGCCCGGGGGAGUAUGCUCGCAAGGGUGAAACUCAA